CAGAGACAAAGUGGAUCAUCGUGAUCGCCGUCCUGGCAUCCCUCGCCGCCGCCGCCCUCGUCGUGGGCGUGACCGUCUGCUUAUGCAAGCGCAGUGCCAAACACAAGACAACGACCUUUGAGCAGACCACUGUACAGAUGGCAACGACAAGUGAACCAUACGAAGAAUUGACAGAAGGGGCACAAGAUCUAAAGCGCACCUCGAUGUGAUACACGCAAAGUAAUCUUAUUUAAGAAAAUUGGAAAACUCAUAUGCUUGUAUAUAUUUAAAAAAAUACUAUUUUAGAUGUCAUUUUUCAAAACUUGAACAAGUACAUUUAAUCACACAAACCUUAUUCUAAUUUAAACUUUUACAAUGGAUGAUGUGAACGAUGUAUAUUUGAAUGUAGAAGUUGUUUCAAGUAAAG
ensembl:lncRNA